GACGAACGCUGGCGGCGUGCUUAACACAUGCAAGUCGAGCGAAUGGAUUAAGAGCUUGCUCUUAUGAAGUUAGCGGCGGACGGGUGAGUAACACGUGGGUAACCUGCCCAUAAGACUGGGAUAACUCCGGGAAACCGGAGCUAAUACCGGAUAACAUUGAACCGCAUGGUUCGAAAUUGAAAGGCGGCUUCGGCUGUCACUUAUGGAUGGACCCGCGUCGCAUUAGCUAGUUGGUGAGGUAACGGCUCACCAAGGCAACGAUGCGUAGCCGACCUGCGAGGGUGAUCGGCCACACUGGGACUGAGACACGGCCCAGACUCCUACGGGAGGCAGCAGUAGGGAAUCUUCCGCAAUGGACGAAAGUCUGACGGAGCAACGCCGCGUGAGUGAUGAAGGCUUUCGGGUCGUAAAACUCUGUUGUUAGGGAAGAACAAGUGCUAGUUGAAUAAGCUGGCACCUUGACGGUACCUAACCAGAAAGCCACGGCUAACUACGUGCCAGCCGCCGCCGUAA
rnacentral:rRNA from 1 species